CCUCUUCGCUGAAUACAGCUCACGGUAAGUACUGGUUCACACAGUUCGUUCUCUGGGUGCUCACUCUCUUUCUCUUUCUCCACAGGCAACGGCUGGGACACACAGGCACAGUUAGUUCAGCUUGGUUUUGCUCUCACCUCUUCGCUGAUUACAGCUCACAGUAAGUACUGGUUCACACAGUUCGUUCCUUGGGUGCUCACUCGCUUUCUCUUUCUCCACAGGCAGCGGCGUAAGUACAGGUUUCCUCUGUUUCUCCUUGUGUUACUCACUCUCUCUUUCCUUUUCUCUCCACAGGUAUCAACUUGGGCACAAUAGCACAGUUAGUUUGCUUUGAAUGGCUCUCACCUCUGGGCUGGACACAGCGUACUGUAAGUACAGGGUUUCCUCGGUCUCUCCUCGUGUUAUUCACUCUCUCUCCUUUUCUCUCCACAGGCAUCAACUUGGGCACACUAGCACAGUUAGUUUGCUUUGAAUGGCUCUCACCUCUGGGCUGAACACAGCGUACUGUAAGUACAGGUUUCCUCUGUUUCUCCUUGUGUUACUCACUCUCUCUUUCCUUUUCUCUCCACAGGUAUCAACUUGGGCACAAUAGCACAGUUAGUUUGCUUUGAAUGGCUCUCACCUCUGGGCUGGACACAGCGUACUGUAAGUACAGGGUUCGCUCUGUUUCUCCUUGUGUUACUCACUCUCUCUUUCCUUUCCUCUCCACAGGUAUCAACUUGGACGCAAAGCACAGUUACUCUGCUUUGGAUGGCUUUCACCUCUGGGCUGGACACAGCGUACUGUGCUAUCUCCGGAGAUCUGAAGCACGCUCACAACAUAUACUAUACUGAACUAGGCUAGGACCAGCAGUCUCCUUGUCCUCCCGCGACGAAGUGCGUGAAGGCGGGGGUUUAUCUGACAGGAC
ensembl:lncRNA